CAGGGAGACAAUAAAUUGAUUGUGAUGUCUAAGUUUUUUAUUCUUAGGCCGCAAUCCUGUCACCUUAAGGUCGAUCGGUACCUCAGGUUUUUUUAUUAAUUUUUUAAUUAAUAUUCAAAUUUCAGUUCCUAAACUUGUCUAGGUCACACCCAACAAGGGUUUCUCCUGGGCCAUUAGCUCAGGUGGUUAGAGCGCACCCCUGAUAAGGGUGAGGUCCCUGGUUCAAGUCCAGGAUGGCCCAUUCGUUGUUGGGGGUAUAGCUCAGUUGGUAGAGCGCCUGCUUUGCAAGCAGGAUGUCAGCGGUUCGAGUCCGCUUACCUCCACUGAAACCUACCCUGGUAACUAAAUUCCGGAGAAAAUUGUUGAUGUGACUUGGAUUUGUCUAUUUGAAACGACUCUAGCUUCUUAUCAUCUUUUUGUAGUUGAUAAAAUGCUGGGCUCGCAUGGAUUAAUUCCAUGAGAAUUCAGUAGAACCUUGAAAACUGCAUAGAUUAGAAAGAAUAAAGCAUCUCAUGGAUGCAUAAUUCUAUGUUAAUAAAUUAGCUUUUAAACUAAUUUUUUUAUAUAGAAUUCAUGUUUAAUUCUUGAGUAAUAGCCGAGCACAAUUGAUUUUGUGAUUGUAUUUAA
rnacentral:tRNA from 1 species